UGAAUAGCUAUUCAACGCUUCCAGUAAUAUACAAAAUUAUUUUUCUUUCCUUUUCUACCCAUUUUACAUUCUCUUCAAACUCCCAACUCCCAUAUGAGAUCUUUUCCAAUAAAUCUCAAAGAUUAUCGUGUGAGUAUGAAAUUUUUGUGUUUUAUUUAAACUUUCUCUUCUUACUUUCUUUUUACCCUCACCAUUCUCCCAAUAUACCUGUGUAGAACGUUUGGAGUAAGCAAGAAGAGGGGUUUGAAAGAACAACAGCAGCAGUCAUGGCAAAGAAGAUCAGCGUAACAAAGAAAGCCUUGAUUCCAGGUUUAAUCAAACCCUCAAGAAUGUCUAAGGGGCAUUCACUGUAUUAGGAAAGCUGAAGCCGGAAGAUGCUGUUCAGGCUACGCUUUCUUCUCUACCUGAUGAAGUUAUGGAUACUAUUGGUGUUAUAGCUCUACCAUUUGAAGAUUCUGUUUCGGAAAGGAGAAGGAAGCUGGAGUACCUUGAGAUGCAGGAAGAACUGAUCAAGGAGGAGGAAGAGAAAUAAGAAGAAGAGCUGGCAAAGAUGAAGGAACCUAAGGCUAGAAAAGAGGAUGUGGCAUUGAAAGAGAUGACUGUCCCAACAGCUAGAGAAGCACAAGAACAGGCUAUAGCAAGAGCGUUAAAAAAAAGAGAUCAGCUCUAUGAAAUGAGUUGUGCAUUGGUUGUUUUAGCUUCAGCAUCUUCUGUAAGCAGAGAGCGAGAAGAGUUCUUUGGUCUUGUAAAUAAGGAGGUAUUUCCGGCAUGCAUCUGGUUCACUUCUUAUUCUCUCCAAAAAUCUUGCUCAAUAUAUCAACACAAACAGUGCAUUUUUGAAGACUUAUGCUCAUGAUGAUAUAUCAAUGGCAUCUUGGAUGAUGGGUGUCCAGGCAAUUUAUAUAGAUAAUAAUCAUCUUUGCUGCAGUAGCAUUAGACAAGAUGUUCAUCGACUGUGGCCCAGGACGAUGAGGAAGUGGAUGAGACUGGAGUUGAGCCGAAAGACAUUGAGUUGGUGAUGACACAAGCAAGAGUGUCGAGAUCAAAGGCUGUGAAGGCACUCAAGGCUGCAGAUGGGGACAUUGUAUCUGCUAUAAUGGAGCUAACAACUUAAAUGAAUAUGGUGUGUGUUAGCGAAAUUUGAUGGAUUUUGCACUAGUAAAUGUGUUCUAUGAGAAUUGCGUGUUAUGUCAUAGUCACAAGUUUAUGUUGUUUUGGUGACUUUUUUGUUUUUGCUAUUUUAAUCAUUUUCAUUAGUUGAAUUGGAAUUUGUAGUCACUCUAUUUGUUAAGAUAUCUAUGGGCAACCGAUGAAAUGUUGGUAUAA